UACGUAGGGUGCGAGCGUUGUCCGGAAUUAUUGGGCGUAAAGGGCUCGUAAGCGGUUUGUCGCGUCGGGAGUGAAAACCCAGGGCUUAACCCUGGGCUGGCUUCCGAUACGGGCAGACUAGAGGUAUGCAGGGGAGAACGGAAUUCCUGGUGUAGCGGUGAAAUGCGCAGAUAUCAGGAGGAACACCGGUGGCGAAGGCGGGUCUCUGGGCCGAUACUGACGCUGAGGAGCGAAAGCGUGGGGAGCGAACAGG
rnacentral:rRNA from 1 species